rnacentral:tRNA from 1 species
GUACUGGUGGUUUAAUGUAGAAACCUGCCUUCCAUGUAGGAGACCUGGGUUCAAUUCCCAGCCAAUGUA